rnacentral:sRNA from 1 species
AGAGAGAGAGAGAGAGAGAGAGAGAGAGAGAGAGAGAACGUGGGUUAAGAGAAUAUUUUAGUUAAGAAGGUAUUUUAGUAAAAAAAAACAUAGAAAAAGUAUCUAGUCUUUUGAAAGUGCCUAAACACGGAAAUAGUUUUUAAAAAGUGUCUAAGAGUGUAAUAUUCUCUUUUCAAUAAUGUCCUUUCUUAUUUGCGAUCUUCAUUUAUGCCAUCUCUUAAUUUUUAACGAUCAUUUUACCUCUAUUUAUAAAAUGUUUUAGGUUAACAAAAUGAAAUAUUGACUUUUUCCCCCUAUAUUCAGAAAAUAAAUUUCCCACCAAAAACAAUUUCGCGCCAAAACUUUUUUUCCAAAAACAUUGUUCCCGCAAAAAACAAUUUUGGCAAGAAAUAGAUUUUUAAAAUGUUUAAAAGGGUUUUAAAAGAUUCAAAAGAGAUUUUAAAAGACUUUUAAAGGUUUUAAUAAGAUUUACAAGGAAUUUUAAAAGAGUUUUAAAGAAUUUACAAAGAGAUUUAAAAUUCUUAAAAACUCUUAUAAAU